UCCAGACUCCUACGGGAGGCAGCAGUGGGGAAUAUUGGGCAAUGGGCGCAAGCCUGACCCAGCAACGCCGCGUGAAGGAAGAAGGCUUUCGGGUUGUAAACUUCUUUUAAGAGGGAAGAGUAGAAGACGGUACCUCUUGAAUAAGCCACGGCUAACUACGUGCCAGCAGCCGCGGUAAUACGUAGGUGGCAAGCGUUGUCCGGAUUUACUGGGUGUAAAGGGCGUGUAGCCGGGCCGGCAAGUCAGAUGUGAAAUCCCAAGGCUCAACCUUGGAACUGCAUUUGAAACUGUUGGUCUUGAGUAUCGGAGAGGCAGGCGGAAUUCCUAGUGUAGCGGUGAAAUGCGUAGAUAUUAGGAGGAACACCAGUGGCGAAGGCGACUUUCUGGACUGUACCUGACGCUGAGGCGCGAAAGCGUGGGUAGCGAACGGGAUUAGAUACCCCAGUAA
rnacentral:rRNA from 1 species